GCUCUCUCGCACUCUCUCUCUCCACCUCCCCUCUCAAAAUAAAUAAACUUUAAAACAAAGAUUGGCAGAGGCAGAGGGACCAGUAACGUAGAUCUCGCACUACUAUAAGCAAGAGAUGAAGGUAGCUGGGAAAAAGUAGUGUCAGCAGGGAUGGGGAGAAGUGGCCAGUCUGCAAUUUACGAUGGACACAGGAAUGAUUAGGACCCGGCGACUGUCUGAAUGGAGAGGUGGGUUUCAGUGAGGAGAGCUCUGUCCAGCUGGAGCGUUUCCCACAAACACAGCAUGAGAACAUUCUCCCUGAGAACCUGGAUUUGGUGCUCGAGGUGUGUCGGACCAGCAGUUGAGAAGAGAGGCGACUCAGUGGUAUGCUAAAAUACCAACAGGCUUAAAAUAGGCCAAUUCUACAAUGGUUCUUCACUUUCCAAGGCAGUUCCUUGAUGACCACAGGGGCAAAGGAAAAUAGGGUGAACCAUGAAUUUAGUUCUAACUCCUCCUUUCCUUAAACACACACAAAAUCUCCAGUCAAGAAGACAGAUCCAACAGAAUCUAGAAUGUCUGACACAUCUUUACAGUCAUCUGGCCUCCACUUUUCUCCCAAACAACAAGAGCAACAUUCCCUGUAAUAGAAGAAAUGUGGGAGGAGAAAAGCCAUAUAAAUUGGAAGUAAGUUUAACCUCAGCAAGAAGUAAAAUUCUAAUAAUGAAAAUCCUUGGCAAAGAAGCCAAACUCAUCACUGGAAAUGUGACGAAGAAGCUGGAUGUUCAUGGCAAGGCGCUCUAGAAGGGAUCUAGAGCUUGAAUGAGAAAUUAAAGAUUCUCUGAGAUCCAAAUAUAGGACACAAAAUGACACCAAGCUGUUGUCCAGCCCCAAGAAUGGCUUUCUUUCCCCUAUGUAGCUUGAGAGGCCA